GAUGAACGCUGGCGGCGUGCCUAAUACAUGCAAGUCGAGCGAACAGACGAGGAGCUUGCUCCUCUGACGUUAGCGGCGGACGGGUGAGUAACACGUGGAUAACCUACCUAUAAGACUGGGAUAACUUCGGGAAACCGGAGCUAAUCCCGGAUAAUCUAUUGAACCGCAUGGUUCAAUAGUGAAAGACGGUUUUGCUGUCACUUAUAGAUGGAUCCGCGCCGCAUUAGCUAGUUGGUAAGGUAACGGCUUACCAAGGCAACGAUGCGUAGCCGACCUGAGAGGGUGAUCGGCCACACUGGAACUGAGACACGGUCCAGACUCCUACGGGAGGCAGCAGUAGGGAAUCUGCCGCAAUGGGCGAAAGCCUGACGGAGCAACGCCGCGUGAGUGAUGAAGGUCUUCGGAUCGUAAAACUCUGUUAUUAGGGAAGAACAAAUGUGUAAGUAACUAUGCACGUCUUGACGGUACCUAAUCAGAAAGCCACGGCUAACUACGUG
rnacentral:rRNA from 1 species